UUGCAACAGCGUGCGGCACGAUU
rnacentral:miRNA from 1 species